UUUUUUUCUUGGGUAGACUUUUCUAAUGUGAGUAGCAUCAUGGGAAAGUCAGGAUUAGACUGUAACACUUCAUGUGUUUGCUGUUUCUUAGUGACAUCAGCACUAAACAAAUGAAAAACAACAGCAUACUUUAACAUAUAGUGCCACUUCUGAGUCUAGCUAAGAUAAAAUAGUCGACAGGUUAGACAUCUCUACCUCUUUGGUUCUCAUUGUAUUCUGUUUCUGUUUUCUGUAAUAAGCUUCAGUCGAUUCCUCAAAUGAGUUGAAAGCUUUCAGAAAAUCCUGUGCUCACUAAAAUAUCCAUUCACUGUUUUGUUUCUUACUUUGCUAGCUCAGUGACCUCUCGGAAUGGGCAGCACAAGGGGGUGGCCACAGGACCCUGCUCUAUGGGCAUGCAAUUCUCCUGCGGCACUCUUUCAGUGGAAUGUAUCUGACAUGCUUGACCACAUCAAGAUCCCAGACAGAUAAACUUGCCUUUGAUGUAGGUCUGCGGGAACAUGCCACAGGUAAGUUGUCAUCCCUAGGUUCAGCCUGUGGGAUCUUGUGCUAAGGA